rnacentral:rRNA from 1 species
GAUGAACGCUAGCGGCAGGCUUAAUACAUGCAAGUCAAGGGGGUAGCAAUACAACCGGCGCACGGGUGAGUAACGCGUACACAACAUACCAUAUACUGGAGUAUAGCUUUGGGAAACUGAAGGUAAUCCUCCAUAACAUUGCGAGAGGGCAUCUGAUUGCAAUUAAAGUUUCGGCGGUAUAUGAUUGGUGUGCGUUUUGAUUAGCUAGUUGGUAGGGUAACGGCCUACCAAGGCGACGAUCAAUAGCUGGCGUGAGAGCGCGACCAGCCACACUGGAACUGAGACACGGUCCAGACUCCUACGGGAGGCAGCAGUAGGGAAUAUUGGACAAUGGAGGAAACUCUGGAU